UACGGGGGGGAGCAAGCGUUGUUCGGAAUUACUGGGCGUAAAGCGCGCGCAGGCGGCUAUCCAAGUCAGUGGUGAAAGCCCGGAGCUCAACUCCGGAACUGCCAUUGAAACUGUUUAGCUUGAGGACGAGAGAGGUGAGUGGAAUUCCCAGUGUAGAGGUGAAAUUCGUAGAUAUUGGGAAGAACACCGGUGGCGAAGGCGGCUCACUGGCUCGUAUCUGACGCUCAGGCGCGAUAGCGUGGGGAUCAAACAGG
rnacentral:rRNA from 1 species